rnacentral:rRNA from 1 species
UACAGAGGUCUUAAGCGUUGUUCGGAAUUACUGGGCGUAAAGGGUGCGCAGGCCGCGCGGGCAGUCAAAUGUGUAAUUCAGGGGCUCAACCCCUGCACUGCGCUUGAUACUUCCGCGCUCGAACCUUGAAGAGGAGUCUGGAAUUCUCGGUGUAGCAGUGAAAUGCGUGGAUAUCGAGAAGAACACUUAGGGCGAAAGCAAGACUCUGGACAAGUGUUGACGCUCAUGCACGAAGGCUAGGGUAGCGAACGGG